AUUGAACGCUGGCGGCAGGCCUAACACAUGCAAGUCGAGCGGAUUCGCCGACGGGUGAGUAAUGCCCAGGACUCUGCCUCUUAGUGGGGGAUAACGUUCGUUAACGGGCGCUAAUACCGCAUACUAUCAGAUUUGCCUAGGUCGGAUUAGCUAGUUGGUGGGGUAAAGGUCUACCAAGGCGACGAUCCGUACCUGGUCUGAGAGGAUGAUCGGUCACACUGAAACUGAGACACGGUCCAGGCUCCUACGGGAGGCAGCAGUGGGGAAUAUGGGACAAUGGGCGAAAGGCUGAUCGAGCCAUGCCGCGUGUGUGAAGAAGGUCUUGGGAUUGUAAAGGACUGUAAGUUGGAAGGCGUUAGCGGCAGAAUAAGCACGGGCGAACUUCGUGCCAGCCGCGGCGGUAAGAC
rnacentral:rRNA from 1 species